UUUUGAUGGGAUCCGGUGAUUUAGUGCUGGCAUUAUCGAACCCAUUUCGCGUGCUUCGUCCCUCGCCUAUGUGCACGUCGCGGUCGGCGCAUCAACGUCCGGAGCCUCUUGCCCGUCACGAAACCGUCGGCACUUUAUCGAACGUUCACGAAAUCCCUAUUGUAAGAUCUCUCCGAGCCCUAGCCCGACGACUGCGUAUCGGUCAUGGCAAGCGCGUGCCGAAACCAUCGGCACUUUCUAGAACGAUCUCGGAAUCGCUAUUGCGACCCCAAUCCAGAAAGCUCUCUUCGAGCCCCUCG
rnacentral:lncRNA from 1 species